CUUCAAGCCCUAGUAGUCCUUCAAGAGAAAUAGUGACUGAUGGGCCCAUGGCUAGGAGAAGCCUAUGUGUUCAAGAAAUUUGAAACGUUUCAUCACCAUGCUAGGUGACAUCAUCAGUGGAGCCUCCGAUGAAGCAGUGUUAUUCUACUCCACUUGGAAUUUAUACUGUCCGGUCUGUUUCUGCACCUUGCACAUGGAGACCAAAUCUUCACAGCAUCAAUGAUGACAAGACAAAAAAGAAUAUGAGGAUUUGGGACACUCCAGCAAAAUGACUUUCAGCUAAGAUUGACAAACCAGGAUUGAAAAGCAAGAUUACAGAAAAGAGUUCCAGAACAAAUGAACACAAUGAUUGAAAACAUAGUUACCAAUAGUCCAGCAGAAUGCAAGAAGUAAACAAUUGGCCCAGGAGUGGUUACAUGUUGACAUGAGACAUGACAGCUGUAAGGUGGAAUAAGAUCAUAGAGAAAUUUAAACAUGAAGAUGAGCAUUCAAUGGACAUUUUGCGAAUUCAAAGCCUUGUACAAGAGUGCACACCGGAUGCAAUACUUUAGGUAAGAUGCAAUCAAUACAAAGUA